rnacentral:rRNA from 1 species
ACUCCUACGGGAGGCAGCAGUGGGGAAUAUUGCACAAUGGGCGCAAGCCUGAUGCAGCCAUGCCGCGUGUAUGAAGAAGGCCUUCGGGUUGUAAAGUACUUUCAGCAGUGAGGAAGGUGGGUAUGUUAAUAGCAUAUCAUUUGCAUUCGACUGAUGAGCUUGGCCAAGAAAGAAGCACCGGCUAACUCCGUGCCAGCAGCCGCGGUAAUACGGAGGGUGCGAGCGUUAAUCGGAAUUACUGGGCGUAAAGCGCAUGCAGGUGGUUUGUUAAGUCAGAUGUGAAAGCCCGGGGCUCAACCUCGGAAUUGCAUUUGAAACUGGCAAACUAGAGUACUGUAGAGGGGGGUAGAAUUUCAGGUGUAGCGGUGAAAUGCGUAGAGAUCUGAAGGAAUACCGGUGGCGAAGGCGGCCCCCUGGACAGAUACUGACACUCAGAUGCGAAAGCGUGGGGAGCAAACAGGAUUAGAUACCCUGGUAGCUACGAGU